GUCUUUCAUCGUGUUAAUAGGCAUGUUUACUACACGUGAUAGAAAGCGCUUGUUGUUAGCAACUUAAAAAACAAAUAAAAAUGCAGCAUUCGAUAUACACUGUUAACGUCAUACUGAGAUGUAUAGUUGCGGGGCUUCAGUACAUACAUUGACUGACUAAAUAGGAAGUACAUGCAAGUAGCGACUAAGGCUCGUUGUUGUAUACGUGCUGUUCCAAUUGCUAAAUUUCACCUGUUUUUUCCGUAUUGAUUAAUUGCUUAAAUUUCUAUAUAUAUAU